rnacentral:lncRNA from 1 species
GGAAGGCUGCCUACAAGCAUCACAGUCCCAUCUCUGUUGGGACAAUUCCCAGUGAAGGCCUUAAAUGAUGCUCAACUAAGCAGGUUCUUGUGUGGCCUCUGUGUCUUCGACAGCUGCUGAAUCCUCUGAUCACACAUGAUGGGACUUGUACACUUGAAAUUAAAUAUAUUUUUAAAACUUCUGUUGUUGAGAAUUCCCACCUCAUUUUUCCAUGGACAAAAUUAUUCUUUAUGUCAUAGCGCACUGAAAAUUUGGUAUUACCUAGAAGUUAAAGAAAUACGAUAACCGUGCCAAA